rnacentral:lncRNA from 1 species
UAUUGCUAGAAAUAAAAGUCAAGGUAACUUCUUGAGUUGUUUUAACUCUUAUUUCUAGCAAUAGUGGUACCAGCCAGUACCCUCUGUCACUUUUGAGACCACUAUUAAUUUUGCCUUAACGUUCAAAUCACUAAUAAGCCACCCUUACAAUUUGUUUACAUGUGUGUGUGUGUGUGUGUGUGUGUGUGUGUGUGUGUGUGUGUGUGUGUGUGUGUGUGUGUGUGUGUGUGUGUGUGUGUGUGUGUGUGUGUGUGUGUGUGUGUGUGUGUGCGUGUGUGCGCGCGUGCGUGUGUGAUAAAUUUUGUGUCUCCCUACAAACAAUAUCAUUUCAGUUAAAGGUACAAGACUCGAAAUUUUGAUCGUGUCGAUGGGGUCUGGUUGAUUAUAGUGCUCAACUGGUACUUAAUUUCUCAACCCCAAAAGGAUGAGAGACGAAGUCGGCCUCGUCGAAAUUUGAACUGAAAAUGUAAGCACAAACGACGCCUCAUCGAUGGGAUUUAGUUGGUUACGGUGUUCAACUGGUACUUAAUUUAUGGACCCAAGAAGGAUGAAAGGCAAAUAUUGACCUCGGCGAAAUUUGAACUCAGAACGGACGGAAUGCCGCUAAGCAUUGUGCUACAAGGUUUCUUUCUGCCACGCCGGACGAAAUGCACAGCGAUAUUUCGUCUGCCGUUACGGUCUGAUUUCAAAUUUCGCAGAGGUUGACUUUGCCUUUCAUCCUUUCGGGGUCGAUUAAAUAAGUACCAGUUACGCAUGGCGUCGAUGUAAUCGACUUAAUCCCUUUGUCUGUGCUUGUUUGUCCUCUCUGUGUUUAUCCCCCUGUGGGCAAUAAAGAAAUAAAUGUCGAUGUAGUGACAGUAAAGAAAUAGAUAUUUCGUCUGCCGUUACGGUCUGAUUUCAAAUUCUAUCGAGGUCGACUUUACCUUUCACAUUUCAGGGUCGAUUAAAUAAGUACCAGUUACGCACUAGGGUCGAUGUAAUCGACUUAAUCCCUUUGUCUGUGCUUGUUUGUCGCCUCUAUGUUUAUCCCCCUGUGGGCAAUAAAGAAAUAAAUGUCGAUGUAGUGGUGUUCGUCCUCUGUUAGAGUGCGGAAGUUUCCAAAAUACAGCAUCCAAUAUGGCCUUGGUUUCAGCACAAACUUACUCUGAGUUGAGCAAACAAUAAUACAAUGUCACCAUCACCGCCACCCCCACCCCCCACUACUACACCACUGCCUCUAUCUUCUAUAAGCCAGUCCCACCAUGGACAUCAUGAGUAUUAUAUGCACCUUAUGAAUCAUUUUCUUUAGUCAGUAUUCGUCUUUGCCGUCUCCUACUUCUUCUUCUUCAUCAUAAUGGUCGUCAUCAUGAUCAUCAUUUUCUAGUCUCUUUCAUCUUUCUUUUUUUCCUUUAUUUUAUUCUUUUCUUCUAAUGCUUCACAAUAUUUUCUUUCUUUUUUUCUACUUUCAUCUAUUUCGUUACUUACCUGUUUCUUUUUUCUUUCUUUUUUUCAUCCUCAAAUUCCUCGCCUCCUCCUCAUCAUCAUCAUCAUUAUCAUCUAUUACAAUUACUACUGCGGCUGGUCAUGCUUUUUCUGCUACUACUACUACUACUACUUCUACUACUACCUCUAAUACCACUACUUUUAUUUUUUAACCCCUUCCUCUAAAAUUCUCCUCUCCAAACGAUUAUCUUUACUUUCCUCUGCUGCCAUUUUAGUCCACGUCUUCACCCAUCCUUUCACAUCCCAUCUCUUCUACUACCCCUUCCUUCAAGUCGCCCUCUCGCCUUUUAUUUUUUAACCCCCUCCUCUAAAAUUCUCCUCUCCAGACGAUUAUCUUUACUUUCCUCUGCUGCCAUUUUAGUCCACGUCUUCACCCAUCCUUUCACAUCCCACCUCUACUACUACCCCUUCCUUCAAGUCGCCCUCUCGCCCAUCGUCCGUACAUACGUUAAAUGUAGUGAGACAACCGUACCGACAAACAGGCGUACAUAACGUCAGUCUCGCUACUUUUCUUCAGUUAUCUUAUUCAUCACUCUCCUUUCGUUUCAUCACAGAUGAUUCUCCUGUCACCGAGUCAAAUUCCAUUCUUUUUGUCUUUUAUUUUUUCUUGUUCCUGUUUUAUUAUUCCUAACGUCCUUCUGUCGAACCAACCAGCGAUCUAUCAAUACAUCUAUCUGUCCGUCAUAUCAUCCAUCUAUCUAAACAUCCCUUUAACGAACUAACCAACCAUCUAUCUACUCGUCCAGCAAUCCGUCCAUCCAAACAUCUAGUUAGAUAAUCAGUUGGUCACGUAACCAGCCAGCAAAACUACCAGCCAACCGUCCAUCUGUCCAACCAAUCUAGUCAACCUUCUUGCAUUCCAUCGAACCAUCCAUCCAGCCAUCAAACUAUCCACUCAACCAUCCAAGCAUCCAUGCAAUCAUCUAACCAUCCAUCUAUAUAUGCAUGUAUAAAGGCGGCGAGCUGGCAGAAACGUUAGCACGCCGGGCGAAAUGCGUGGCCGUAUUUCGUCUGCCGUUACGUUCUGAGUUCAAAUUCCGCCGAGGUCGACUUUGCAUUUCAUCCUUUCGGGGUCGAUAAAUUAAGUACCAGUUGCGCACUGGGGUCGAUGUAAUCGACUUAAUCCCUUUGUCUGUCUUUGUUUGUCCUCUCUGUGUUUAGCCCCUUGUGGGUAGUAAAGAAAUAUAUAUAUGCAUGUAUGUAUCCAAACAGGCGUGGCUGAAUGGUAAGAUGUUUGUUUCGCAGUCAUAUGGUUCCGGGUUCAACCCACUGAAUGGCAUCUUGGGUGUCUUCUACUAUAACCUUGGACGGAUCAAAGCCUUGUGUGUGGAUUUAGUAGACAGAAACUAUAAGAAGCUCAUGGUGUAUGUGUGUGUAUCUUUGUGGGUGUUUGUACGUGUUUGUCCCCCAAUACCACUUGACAACCGGUGUAGGCGUGUUUACUUACAUGUAACCCGGCGUUUCGGCUAAAGACACCGAUAAAAUAAGUCCUGGGGUCGAUUCAUUCGCCUAAAAAUCCUUUUAGGCAGUGCCCCAGCAUGGCUACAGUCGAAUGGCUGGAGUAAAUAAAUGAUAAAAAAAAAAUAAAGACCCAUCUCUCUUUUCUGCACCCAUCGAUCUACGUUUUCUUUCAACUAUCCAUCAGUCAAUUCGGCCAUCAUUCUUCAGUCCAACCAUCCAGCCAUUUAUGACUCUGUCGACUUGACCAGCCUAUAAACCAUUCAAAGAUAAACCCACCCAUCCACCCAUCCGACCAGUCAAGCACUCAUUCAUUCACCUACCUAUCCUUUCAACCAGCUUUUCAUCCAAACCAAUUCUUAUUCAUUUUCAUUCAUUUCUUUAUUCAUUCAUUCACUCUUGCUUUCGUUCAUUUUUACUUUUCGUUCUUUCAUUUCCCCUCCUCUUUUCCUGCAGGUACUUGAUAACACGAUGAUGCCAAAGUUUGUCCAUUUUCAAGAGAAGUUGUUAUUAGUUUAAUUUUGAAGUCUUCUUUGGAAAGAAACAAUGCAGUUAUUAAUAAAGAGUUUUGAAAUAACUGCAUGCUUGAUUUCACAGCUCUAGCAUCACUCCUUCAUAGUCAGCCUAAGAACUUUUCAGCUCGCACUUGUUGCACACACAGAGCGAAUAAAUUAGACUGCUCGCGCGCGUGUGUAUGUGGAAGGUGGAGAGAGAGAGAGAGAGAGAGAGAGAGAGAGAGAGAGAGAGAGAGAGAGAGAAAGAGAAACAGAGCGGCAGAAACAGAGAACAUAGUACAUGAAUAGAGAGAGAUACUAGUACAGACGAAGAGAAAUGACACACACAAACAACUAUGUCUGCAUGAAAGUCCUUGAUGUCUAAACCAUUUUUUUUUUUUGUUUUUUGGCAGGUACUUGAUAACACCCAUUUUCACGAGAAGUCCCUACUAGUUACUUUUGCAGUUUUCUUUGAACAGUCAGGCGUCAGUUUACCUGAAAACUAGAAAAGCACUCGGAGAGCGCAGGCCUCCUCCGCCAAGCAGCUCAUUUCCACCC